GCAGACUUGGGCUGGAAGCUCCCGGCCCGAGGGGAGGGGGCGAGGGUGCCCGGUGGUGGCCGCCGUUGCCUCUUGGCCCCCUCCCCGGAGUGGCUGGUGCGUGGAAGCUCGAAAGGGGCUGUCUCUUCCUCUCCCCGGGGACCCCCCUACGAGCUGCGUCCUCUCCCCGACGGGCCCCCUGGGGCGAGGGCCAGAGGGUUCAGUGCCACCCGGUGCCCGGGUCCAAUCUUGCUGAAGCCGCUGCUUCCCCGGAGGACCGGGGGAGGGGGUGGCAGCCGAGAAAGGACCUUCUCCCCUCCGCAGCGUCGGCCGUUCUGCUGGCGGCGACUGGGUUUGCACCCCGGAGGGAGCCGCCGCGGCCACUGCUUCCAGGACGCACGAGAGCAGAGGAGAGGAGUGCACGCACGCAGGCUCCCGCCGCCCCCAGGCCUGGCCGGCGCCCGGGCCGCCGCGGCUGGCGGCGCUCACGUUGGCUGCAGGGCGCUCGCGCGGCGCCUCGGCCCGGGUCGCAUCCCUUCCCGCUCGUGCUCACGCUCGCCCGGAAUGUGGGGUUGUGAUUGUUACUCUACGUUCCGGAGGCGCGUCUCGGCGCUCCUGCUCCGGCUGCGGCUCGCGCUGUCCCCGGCUUGGCCGCGCGGGAUGCCGCCCGGGCGGAGCGCUGACGUCACCGCCAUGCUCUGCACCAGUUCUUCCCCCUCCCCUUUACACUUCCUCUGUGGAGCCCACUUGUUGCUCAGGCAAGGCGCAUGCGCGGCAGGACGCCCAGAUUCCUCCCAGCCGGCCCCUCCUCCGCGCCUCCGCCCUCCCCUCCCCCCUCGCCGUGUGUGUACAACAGCUGAGGCCCGGCGAGCUAAUGCUGGAAGUCCAGAGCUGGGGGUGGAAAUUAAACAGACGAUGACCUUUCCUUUCCCUGCCGGGCAUUCCCAAGUAAAAACGCAUUUAAGAACCACUAGCGUCGUUUCCGAUCCCUGCUCCCCACCCCACCCCCAAGCCUCGGCAGUGAAUUUAAAUGUCCUGUUUCAGGAUUUUUCGCCGUGAAUUUCGUAUAAGGUAUUAACCAUUUCAUCUGCGGUUGAACCUUAUCCCCCCCGGCAUGGAUGUUAAAUUCAUCGCCACCACUGAUGCCGAAGCACCUGCAAAAUUAGCUGUUUUCCAAUCUUCCAGAAAUUGUCUUUUCUAUUUGUUUUUGUGCCCUGAUCUAGGAACCCGGGCUUCAACGAUAGAGCUAAAUGAAUUCAGAGUGCGCUACCCUUCCCCCCAGCCGCACUUUAAAAAUUUUGGCUGAACGUCUGAAGAAGAUACGAGCACCCCGAGGCCUUUAAGGAAAACAGGCAACUGGCUGCGCACAGCUGCAGUUCAGGGCAGGGAGGGGGAGGGGCCGGAGAGGCCAAACAGGUGAGUGUUUUUUCUAGAGUUUGAUUUUUAAAAGGUGGAGGCAGCAUUUAAUAAUACUGAUACAUUUUUGUAAAGCACAGCCGCAGUUUUCAAAGUUCUUUCUCAGGCGCUGUGAUCUCACUCCAUGUUGCCCCAGAAGGCGGAACAAGGCCGUGAUUUUUUUUUUUUUUUUUUUUUAAGACGGAGUCUUGCUCUGUCGCCCAGGCUGGAGUGCAAAAUGGCGCGAUCUCGGCUCACUGCAACCUCUGCCUCGCAGGUUCAAGCGAUUCUUCCGCCUCAGCCUCCCAAGUAGCUGUGAUUACCGGCACCCGCCAUCAGGCCCAGCUAAUUUUUUGUAUUUUUGUAGAGACAUGGUUUCACCAUGUUAGCCAGCUGGUCUUGAACUCCUGACCUCAGGUGAUCCUCCCGCCUCGGCCUUCCAAAGUGCUGGGAUUACAAGCAUGAACCACCACGCCCGGCCAAGGCCGUGAUUUCUUCUGCCUUACAAGAUCACUGCUCAUCAGUAUUGCUUAUGGCACGAUGGAUAUGUUGGUCAUAGCUCUAGUUGGGGCAUUUCUAUUGAUUAUUCUAAUUAUUGGGUUUGCUUUUUUUUUUUUUUUUAUUUCAUGAAAACUGAGAUAAUCCCAGGGAAGGCUGGAGAAGGGAAAGCAAUAUAAUGGGAUUUCGGAUUCUGAAGUGUGGCCCACCAGAUUGAAAUUUCCUCUCCAUCACUAACUGGCUCUCCACCCUUAAGCUAGUUACCCACAAAAUCUCUCUUUUCCAUGGAAAAGAGAAUGGAAUGAUAGCUCCCAGGUUGUUAGGGUUGUUUGAGAUUUCAACUUCGGUUUUUUGUUUUUUUGAGAUAGGAUCUUGUUCUGUUGCCCAGGCUGGAGUGCAGUGGCACACUCGCGGCUGGCAGCAGCCUGACCUCCCAGGCUCAAGUAAUCCUCCCACCUCAGCCUCCCUAGUAGCUGGGACUACAGGCAUGUGCCAUUACACCUGGCCAAUUUUUUUGUAUUUUUGGAAAGGGAUGGGGUUUUGCCGUGUUGCCCAGGCUGGUCUCAAACUCCUGGGCCCAAGUGAUGCACCCACCUUGGCCUCCCAAAGUGUUGGGAUUACAGGCAUGAGCCACCUCACCCGGCCUCAAUUUGUUUCUUGUCAUAAGAAGAGAUAACGCUUACUUAGACUUGCCGUGGGACCUUAGUAAACUAGGUGGCUUUACUUGCAUCACCCUUAAUAUUAUCUACAUUAUUAAGGGGAUAUUAUCUAUAGUAUUUUGUUGUUGUUUUGAGACAGAGUCCACUCUGUCACCCAGGCUGGAGUACAGUGACGCAAUCUCAGCUCACUGCAACCUCCACCUCCCAGGUUCAAGCAAUUCUCCUGCCUCAGUCUCCCAAGUACCUGGGGAUACAGGCGCCCGCCACCACACCCAGCUCAUUUUUGUAUUUUUAGUAGAGACGGACUUUCACCAUGUUGGCCAGGCUGGUCUCGAACUCCUGACCUCAGGUGAUCCUCCCGCCUCAGCCUCCCAAAGUGCUGGGAUUACAGGCAUGACCCACCGUGACCGGCCUAUUACAGUAUUAAACCCUUAAUAUUAUCUACAGGGUAGAUUCUUUUACCUCCAUUUUACAAACCAGGAAAGUAAAGAGGCUAUAUAACUUGCCUACAGCCAUUAGUGAUGGGGCUGGGAUUUGAAUCCAGUAAAUCUGAUUUGAGGUGUCUUUGACAAGCUCAGGCUUGCAGAGGUGGUUUGGGGUGCUCAAAAUUCCCAUCAGCCCCAGUUGAUUUGGUGUUACAUACAAUCUUACGUAAGUACUAUGCCAAUACACCUUCAUAACCAACCCCCAGCCUCCCCUUCCAAGCGCAUUUGUACCACUGAGUUCUAUAUACAGAAGUUGUAGAUCUGUCACUACCAGACUGUAACUUAAAUACACCAUACAGAAUGGAGAGCAGUGUUGGACUCACAGUUAGUGUUAGUUAUUAUUAGUAUUGAUACUAGUGUUGGUACUAUUGCUGGUUGACAUGUGACAGUACUUAGUAAACUGCAUAAAUUGUGAGGAUCACUAUUAUCACUCUUAUUACUAGUAAUUGCAAUAAAGUUCAGUGGAAGCAA
rnacentral:lncRNA from 1 species